UGAAUACGAGACGCUAAGGCGUCGAAGUAGUGUAUGUCAUACUUCCAAGAAAAGCUUGCACUGUCAUAAGUAAAAAAUGCCUGUACCAUAACCGACACAGGUGGGUAGGUAGAGUAUACUAAGGGGCGCGAGAUAACUCUCUCUAAGGAACUCGGCAAAAUAACUCCGUAACUUCGGGAGAAGGAGUACCUUAUUCUAUAAGGUUGCAAUAACAAGGUCCAAGCAACUGUUUAUCAAAAACACAGGUCUCCGCUAAGUCGUAAGACGAUGUAUGGGGGCUGACGCCUGCCCAGUGCCAGAAGGUUAAAGAAGUCGGUUAGCAUUAGCGAAGCUGGUAACUGAAGCCCUGGUGAACGGCGGCCGUAACAAUAACGGUCCUAAGGUAGCGAAAUUCCUUGUCGGGUAAGUUCCGACCCGCACGAAAGGCGUAAUGAUUUGGAUACUGUCUCGGAGAGGGGCUCGGUGAAAUAGACUUGUCUGUGAAGAUGCGGACUACCUGCACCAGGACAGAAAGACCCUAUGAAGCUUUACUGUAACUUGAAAUUGAAAUUGGACUUUAUUCGCGCAGUAUAGGUGGGAGGUGUUGAUUAUAAUCUUGCGGGAUUAUUGGAGCCAUCAGUGAGAUACCACUCUUGUAAUGUUAGAUUUCUAACUUUGAAUCAUUAUCUGGUCAAAGGACAGUUUCAGGCGGGCAGUUUGACUGGGGCGGUCGCCUCCCAAACGGUAACGGAGGCGUACAAAGGUUUCCUCUGAACGGGUAGAAAUCGUAUCUAGAGUGUAAAGGCAUAAGGAAGCUUGACUGUGAGACCUACAAGUCGAACAGGGACGAAAGUCGGUCUUAGUGAUCUGACGGUACUGAGUGGAAAGGCCGUCACUCAACGGAUAAAAGUUACUCUAAGGAUAACAGGCUGAUCUCCCCCAAGAGUUCACAUCGACGGGGAGGUUUGGCACCUCGAUGUCGGCUCAUCGCAUCCUGGGGCGGUAGUACGUCCCAAGGGUUGGGCUGUUCGCCCAUGAAAGCGGUACGCGAGCUGGGUUCAGAACGUCGUGAGACAGUUCGGUCCAUAUCCGGUGUAGGCGUUAGAAUAUUGAGAGGAGCCUUCUUUAGUACGAGAGGACCGAGAAGGACAUACCUCUGGUGUACCAGUUAUCGUGCCAACGGUAAACGCUGGGUAGCUAUGUAUGGAGUGGAUAACCGCUGAAAGCAUCUAAGUGGGAAGCCCACCUCAAGAUAAGUAUUCCC
rnacentral:rRNA from 1 species